UCUUCUCCCACACAAGUCACAAUCCACCAUUCUGCCAACAACAAGACUACAAAUUCCUAUAUCAUUAUCAAGGCAUCGUCUAGCUAAAGAUGAGGACUACCGUGACGGUGCUCCUGCCUCUCGUGUUCCUGCUGGUCGUGCUAGCACCAGGUAUGUGCCCAUUUGUCCAUGUAAUGACUACGUUGGUUCACAGAUUAAAUGGCUAGUGUAGCUACAAACUAAACUGCCGUCAGUUCAAAGGAAAACUGUGGCCAUGCAAUGGUGUUUAUACCAAUAAUUAUCCUCUUCUUCUUCUUUGCUGCAGCCGAGGCGAGGGAGGAUUGUACAUACACAAUCCUCGAUCUGAAAGGCCAGGCAUGCGAUCGUGCUAUUUGUUCCUUCAACAGCCGGGUAGCGUUCGCUCAGCUUGGGUGCCCGAAACCUUCGACCAGUUGCUCUUGGAAAAGCGAGUGCACCAGUGCGGGGUGCAACUUCACCUACUGCAUGUAUAGCUAAGAUAGGUCGGCAUGUCGAUCUGAUAGAAUAAACAAGAUGAUUGCAUGGAUGGGAAUGCAGUAUGUAGUUUUGCUCGCUGCAAAGUGAUGUGCCUGAAUGGUAAAUUAUUUAUGUGCCUACUAUGCAUAUAUCUUGUUUUUCAUAUUAUCUAAAAGAAUCCAUUCAGUUUAUAUAUCUUCUAUUUUUCUUUACC
rnacentral:lncRNA from 1 species